ensembl:snoRNA
UCUGCUUCUAGAGCUGUUGCAGAUUUAGCUGCUUUGUCAAAUGUGUGUCAAAAGGUUGCAGAGAGGAGAGAGACUAUAUUCACACUCAGUGUUCUGACCUAUGACCACCAGAAUGAUUAGUUGCCUAACAUU